GACGAACGCUGGCGGCGUGCUUAACACAUGCAAGUCGAACGGAAAGGCCCUGCUUUUGUGGGGUGCUCGAGUGGCGAACGGGUGAGUAACACAUGAGUAACCUGCCCUUGACUUUGGGAUAACUUCAGGAAACUGGGGCUAAUACCGGAUAGGAGCUCCUGCUGCAUGGUGGGGGUUGGAAAGUUUCGGCGGUUGGGGAUGGACUCGCGGCUUAUCAGCUUGUUGGUGGGGUAGUGGCUUACCAAGGCUUUGACGGGUAGCCGGCCUGAGAGGGUGACCGGCCACAUUGGGACUGAGAUACGGCCCAGACUCCUACGGGAGGCAGCAGUGGGGAAUAUUGCACAAUGGGCGGAAGCCUGAUGCAGCAACGCCGCGUGCGGGAUGACGGCCUUCGGGUUGCAAACCGCUUUCGCCUGUGACGAAGCGUGAGUGACGGUAAUGGGUAAAGAAGCACCGGCUAACUACGUG
rnacentral:rRNA from 1 species